AGCAGUCGCCGCGGUAAUACGUAGGUCCCGAGCGUUGUCCGGAUUUAUUGGGCGUAAAGGGAGCGCAGGCGGUUUAGUAAGUCUGAAGUUAAAGGCAUUGGCUCAACCAAUGUAUGCUUUGGAAACUGUUAGACUUGAGUGCAGAAGGGGAGAGUAGGAUUCCAUGUGUAGCGGUGAAAUGCGUAGAUAUAUGGAGGAACACCGGUGGCGAAAGCGGCUCUCUGGUCUGUCACUGACGCUGAGGCUCGAAAGCGUGGGGAGCGAACAGGAUUAGAUACCCCGGUAGUCCCUGUCUCUUAUACA
rnacentral:rRNA from 1 species